UCCAGCACAUGACCAACUUUCAACAUUGAAAUAUGGCUGAAAUAAGGUCAGUUGUUUAAAUGAAACAACGUUAAAAAUGUUUAAUGCUAAAUGGUAGAAAAAGGUUAACAAGCUUUUAAAUUAUUUAUAUUAAAUUAUUUAAAUUAAUUAAUUAUUUUAAUAGCAUUUUAAAAUAUUUUAGUCAUGAUACCUAUUCUAAAAUCUAAAGGUAUAUGUUAAAUAUUAUCAUCAUUAACAACAAUAAAACUAUAUACAUUUCGCUGCUUUAUCACACUGAAACAACUCCCAUUGGUAGUUGUAUUUUAUUACUUCUAUCAUGAUUGGUUAAUCUGGCUGUCAUUCAGGAAACUGGACAAUGAAUCGGUUCGCGCCUUUCUACAUUUAAAAAUAUGACCGUUAUUGUCGUCUUUCUGUGAGUGAGGCGGCUAACUGUGAGCUGCUGCUCGUUAUAACUGACUGCUCUAUCGGUCCCGAAUUAUUUCAUAUUUGCCUGUACAUUUUUUAUUUAUUUUGAGCGAAUUUGAGUCGUGACAUGUCAAUGGAGAACAAAAACUGUGAACACAAGAAGGGUCAGGUGUUCUGCGAGGUCCUGAAAACAUCCUGGCAAAAUGAGAGUCAUCGAGGAUCCAGCUUGUUCUUGAAACAUUGAAGUUUGCCCUCUGCAAGUGAACG